UAAGGAAUAUUGGACAAUGGAGGCAACUCUGAUCCAGCCAUGCCGCGUGAAGGAAUAAGGCCCUAUGGGUUGUAAACUUCUUUUAGACGGGACAAAACCCCUUUACGUGUAAAGGGUUGAUGGUACUGUCAGAAUAAGCAUCGGCUAACUACGUGCCAGCAGCCGCGGUAAUACGUAGGGGGCAAGCGUUGUCCGGAUUUACUGGGUGUAAAGGGUGCUCAGGCGGAUUUGUAAGUCAGAGGUGAAAUCUUACAGCUUAACUGUGAAACUGCCUUUGAUACUGCAAGCCUAGAGUAUGGAAGAGAGUGAUGGAAUAUCUGGUGUAGCAGUGAAAUGCGUAGAUAUCAGAUAGAACACCAAUGGCGAAGGCAGUCACUUGGUCCAUUACUGACGCUAAAGCACGAAAGCGUGGGUAGCAAACA
rnacentral:rRNA from 1 species